rnacentral:rRNA from 1 species
CCUGUAUCGCCAGGCCCGCGGCAUCCAGAUUGGUGUCGUGGUCUGCUCGGUGCGGGUUUGAUGGUGCAUUUGCAGGUGGAGUGCGCCGAGGCACUCGGGGCAGCGGCAUGAGCUCGGUUUUGAGGCCAGCCCGCAAGGGUCUGGUACCCGGACUGGGGGAGUGUUGUUUGCUCUGGGCGUGUCUGUAAGGGCAUGGCUUACGGGCUCGGUUGGUCGCCGAGCUGGCAACCGGUUACGGUCGCAUGCGACACGUGCCAGAGGUCAGUUCGGUCCUAGUCGAGCUCUCAUGUCCGUCCUCGGUGUAAAAGCUGGUCAUCCAUCCGACCCGUCUUGAAACACGGACCAAGGAGUUUAUCGUGUACGCGAGUCAUUGGGUGUUGAAAACCCAAAGGCGAAAUGAAAGUGAAGGUGUCCGCAAGGAGCUGACGUGCGAUCCUGUUUGCCUCGGCAUGCAGGCGCAGCAUGGCCCUAUCCCGACUGCUUGCAGUGGGGUAGCGG